rnacentral:rRNA from 1 species
AUUGAACGCUGGCGGCAGGCCUAACACAUGCAAGUCGAGCGGAUGAGGAAAGCUUGCUUUUCGAUUCAGCGGCGGACGGGUGAGUAAUGCCCAGGAAUCUGCCUGUUAGUGGGGGAUAACUCGGGGAAACUCGGGCUAAUACCGCAUACGUCCUAGGGGAGAAAGUGGGGGAUCGUCGGACCUCACGCUAACAGAUGAGCCGGGGUUGGAUUAGCUAGGAGGUGGGGUAAUGGCUCACCUAGGCGACGAUCCGUAACUGGUCUGAGAGGAUGAUCAGUCACACUGGGACGGAGACACGGUCCAGACUCCUACGGGAGGCAGCAGUGGGGAAUAUUGGACAAUGGGCGAAAGCCUGAUCCAGCCAUGCCGCGUGUGUGAAGAAGGUCUUCGGAUUGUAAAGCACUUUAAGUUGGGAGGAAGGGUAUUCACCUAAUACGUGGGUACUUUGACGUUACCAACAGAAUAAGCACCGGCUAACUCUGUGCCAGCCGCCGCAGUAAUAC